AGAGUUUGAUCAUGGCUCAGAACGAACGCUGGCGGCGUGGCUAAGACAUGCAAGUCGAACGGACUACGUAAUUGAGCAAUCGAAAGCGUAGUUAGUGGCGAAAGGGUUAGUAACGGCUAGGUAACGUACCCCGUGCUUCAGGAUAGCGUCUGGAUGCUUCGGCAUCCUUCCGAAAGGGGCGGUAAUACUGGAUGACAUCAUCGGUCGAUGGGUCGAUGAUCAAAGAUUUAUCGGCGCGGGAGCGGCCUAGUUCCUAUCAGCUUGUUGGUGAGGUAAUGGCUCACCAAGGCAAUGACGGGUAGCGGGACUGAGAGGUUGGCCCGCAACAUCGGGACUGAGACACUGCCCGGACCUCCACGGAGGGCUGCAGUAACGAAUAUUGGGCAAUGAGCGAAAGCUUGACCCAGCGACGCCGCGUGUAGGAGGAAGUCCUUCGGGAUGUAAACUACUGUCAGGGGGAAGAAAGUCCGCUUCGGCGGAUUGAUCUAACCCAGAGGAAGUCACGGCUAACUUCGUGCCAGCAGCCGCGGUAAGACGAAGGUGGCAAGCGUUGUUCGGUAUCACUGGGCUUAAAGCGUGUGUAGGCGGAAGCGUAAGCGUUUUGUGAAAUCCC
rnacentral:rRNA from 1 species